rnacentral:rRNA from 1 species
CUCAUAGCGUAUAUUAAUGUUGUUGCAGUUAAAAAGCUCGUAGUUGGAUUCCUGACCUGGGGUAGCCGGUCCGCCUUGCAAAAGGUGCGCACUGAGCGGCCUCGGUCAUCCUUGAGAAGAGCGGUCCUGGCAUUCAGUUGUCGGGGUCGGGAUUCUCGACGUUUACUGUGAAAAAAUCAGAGUGUUCAACGCAGGCUUACGCCUUGAAUACAUUAGCAUGGAAUAAUGAGAUAGGACCUUGGCGGUCUAUUUUGUUGGUUUGCACGCCGAGGUAAUGAUUAAAAGGGACGGUUGGGGUUCUUCGUAUUCAAUUGUCAGAGGUGAAAUUCUUGGAUUUAUGGAAGACGAACUGCUGCGAAAGCGUCGAACAAGGACGUUCUCAUUAAUCAAGAACGAAAGUUAGGGGAUCGAAGAUGAUUAGAUACCAUCGUAGUCUUAACCAUAAACUAUGCCGAUUCAGGAUUGGCGGUCGUUUGUUCUCGACUCCGUCAGCACUGUAUGAGAAAUCAAAAUCUUUGGGUUCCGGGGGGAGUAUGGUCGCAAGGCUGAAACUUAAAGAAAUUGACGGAAGGGCACCACCAGGAGUGGAGCCUGCGGCUUAAUUUGACUCAACACGGGGAAACUUACCAGGUC